rnacentral:rRNA from 1 species
GACGAACGCUGGCGGCGUGCUUAACACAUGCAAGUCGAACGGAAAGGCCCUGCUUUUGUGGGGUGCUCGAGUGGCGAACGGGUGAGUAACACGUGAGUAACCUGCCCUUGACUUUGGGAUAACUUCAGGAAACUGGGGCUAAUACCGGAUAGGAGCUCCUGCUGCAUGGUGGGGGUUGGAAAGUUUCGGCGGUUGGGGAUGGACUCGCGGCUUAUCAGCUUGUUGGUGGGGUAGUGGCUUACCAAGGCUUUGACGGGUAGCCGGCCUGAGAGGGUGACCGGCAACAUGGGAACGGGAAUCGGCCCAGACUCCUACGGGAGGCAGCAGUGGGGAAUAUUGCACAAUGGGCGGAAGCCUGAUGCAGCAACGCCGCGUGCGGGAUGACGGCCUUCGGGUUGUAAACCGCUUUCGCCUGUGACGAAGCGUGAGUGACGGUAAUGGGUAAAGAAGCACCGGCUAACUACGUG